AUUUGUACAUGCACUGCCUGUGGUUUUGGUACUUCCAGGGUUACCGUUUGUGUUGUUGUUUUUGAAGGUGGUUUUUGAGUAGGAAGUGGGCCCAGGGUAUCGUCCAUUUGUACAUGCACUGCCUGUGGUUUUGGUACUUCCAGGGUUACCGUUUGUGUUGUUGUUUUUGAAGGUGGUUUUUGAGUAGGAAGUGGGCCCAGGGUAUCGUCCAUUUGUACAUGCACUGCCUGUGGUUUUGGUACUGCUGGGGUUACCCUUUGUGUUGUUGUUUUUGAAGGAGG